GACGAACGCUGGCGGCGUGCUUAACACAUGCAAGUCGAGCGGUAAGGGCCCUUUCGGGGGUACACGAGCGGCGAACGGGUGAGUAACACGUGGGUGACCUGCCCUCAGCUCUGGGAUAAGCCUGGGAAACCGGGUCUAAUACUGGAUAUGACUCCAUGACGCAUGUUGUGGGGUGGAAAGCCUUGUGCGGCUGAGGAUGGGCCCGCGGCCUAUCAGCUUGUUGGUGGGGUGAUGGCCUACCAAGGCGACGACGGGUAGCCGGCCUGAGAGGGCGACCGGCCACACUGGGACUGAGACACGGCCCAGACUCCUACGGGAGGCAGCAGUGGGGAAUCUUGCGCAAUGGGCGAAAGCCUGACGCAGCGACGCCGCGUGAGGGAUGACGGCCUCGGUU
rnacentral:rRNA from 1 species